UACGUAGGUGGCAAGCGUUGCUCGGAAUCACUGGGCGUAAAGGGUGCGUAGGCGGGUUUUUAAGUCAGAGGUGAAAUCCUGGAGCUCAACUCCAGAACUGCCUUUGAUACUGAAAGUCUUGAGUAUGGGAGAGGUGAGUGGAACUGCGAGUGUAGAGGUGAAAAUUCGUAGAUAUUCGCAAGAACACCAGUGGCGAAGGCGGCUCACUGGCCCAUAACUGACGCUGAGGCACGAAAGCGUGGGGAGCAAACAGG
rnacentral:rRNA from 1 species